CGGCCGCGUCGACAAAGGCUGUGGCUCAACCAUAGUUCGCUUUGGAAACUGUCAAACUUGAGUGCAGAAGGGGAGAGUGGAAUUCCAUGUGUAGCGGUGAAAUGCGUAGAUAUAUGGAGGAACACCGGUGGCGAAAGCGGCUCUCUGGUCUGUAACUGACGCUGAGGCUCGAAAGCGUGGGGAGCGAACAGGAUUAGAUACCCUGGUAGUCCACGCCGUAAACGAUGAGUGCUAGGUGUUGGAUCCUUUCCGGGAUUCAGUGCCGAAGCUAACGCAUUAAGCACUCCGCCUGGGGAGUACGACCGCAAGGUUGAAACUCAAAGGAAUUGACGGGGGCCCGCACAAGCGGUGGAGCAUGUGGUUUAAUUCGAAGUCGACGCGGCCG
rnacentral:rRNA from 1 species